rnacentral:rRNA from 1 species
GACGAACGCUGGCGGCGUGCUUAACACAUGCAAGUCGAACGGAAAGGCCCCUUUGGGGGUACUCGAGUGGCGAACGGGUGAGUAACACGUGAGUAACCUGCCCUUGACUUCGGGAUAACUUCAGGAAACUGGGGCUAAUACCGGAUAGGAAUCCUUGCUGCAUGGUGGGGGUUGGAAAGCUUCGGCGGUUUUGGAUGGACUCGCGGCUUAUCAGCUUGUUGGUGGGGUAGUGGCUUACCAAGGCUUUGACGGGUAGCCGGCCUGAGAGGGCGACCGGCCACAUUGGGACUGAGAUACGGCCCAGACUCCUACGGGAGGCAGCAGUGGGGAAUAUUGCACAAUGGUCGGAAGCCUGAUGCAGCAACGCCGCGUGCGGGAUGACGGCCUUCGGGUUGUAAACCGCUUUCAGCAGGGGCGAAGCUUGUGGUGACGGUACCUGCAGAAGAAGCACCGGCUAACUACGU